UUAUAAACUCUCACUUUGUGAACCAUGAAACGGCCUUGUAUGGUCCACUGAACAGUCUUUCUCGUUAAAUCUCUAUGAUUCUGGAACCAAUUAUAUAGAGGAUAUGUCUCAAUUUGUUCUCCAUUAAUGCCACAUUGGGAUGUGAGGCGUCCCUACCCGGAGCAGAUAUUCCAAGCACAUGAAAUUGAUGAACUGAGACCUACUACUAGUCCUGACUUUACCAUCUGGAAUUCCAGACUGAGGUUACAGAAAAGAGCUUUUGACCCAAGAUUCAACUUUCACAAGUAC
ensembl:misc_RNA